GUAUGGUGCUGGGUGCAGAUGCAGUGUGGCUCUGGAUAGCACCUUAUGGACAGUUGUGUCCCCAAGGAAGGAUGAGAAUAGCUACUGAAGUCCUAAAGAGCAAGCCUAACUCAAGCCAUUGGCACACAGGCAUUAGACAGAAAGCUGGAAGUUGAAAUGGUGGAGUCCAACUUGCCUGGACCAGCUUAAUGGUUCUGCUCCUGGUAACGUUUUUAUCCAUGGAUGACUUGCUUGGGUAAGGACAUGAAGACAGUUCCUGUCAUACCUUUUAAAGGUACAUGUUUUAUUGAUGUUAACGUUAAUUGAUUGAGCUACUGUUAGUGAUGAUUUUAAAAUUAAAGCAGAUGGGAAUCUCUCUGAGAAAGAAAAUGGAGAUUAAUCUUAAACUGAAACAGUAGUUGGGAAAUCUUUUAGAAAUCCACCUAUUACUACCUAUUGGUAAAGGAGAUUAAAUUUCUACAGGUAUGGAGAGUCGGCUUGACUACACUGUGUGGAGCAAGUUUUAAAGAAGCAAAGGUAUAGCAGUUCCAAGUAUUUUUUUUUUUUUUUUAGACAAGAGUCUAGCUCUUGCCCAGAAUGGAGUGCAGCGGCACUAUCAGUUCACUGCAACCUCUGCCUCCCAGGUUCAAGGAAUUCUCCUGCCUCAGCCUCUUGAGUAGCUGGGAUUACAGGCAUGUGACACCAUGCCUGGCUAAUUUUGUACAGCUAUGUUGUCCAGGCUGGUCUCGAACUCUUGACCUCAAGUGAUACUGCCCGCACUGACCUCCCAAAGUGCUGGGAUUACAGGCGUGAGCCACCAUGCCCCGCCUCAAGUCUGGUUUUUAAGUGUUGUAAAGCCGAUACAAUGAUGAUAACAUAGUUCAGCAGACUAACGCUGAUGAGCAAUAUUAAGUCUUUCGCUCCUAUCUGAUGUAUCUGGCGGUAACAUUCUAGUUUAUGCCCCGAAAAGGGGAAUAUAGCCAUUCUAUAAUGUUUGGAGAUUUUGGAUUACUCCUAAUUGUAUGCAAGUUGUCUUACUGUGUAUUGUCCCUUAAUUUCAGGACUCAGAAUUCAUGAUUGAAGAAAUGCAGGUUAGUUUAAACUUUGAAGGAAAUUUUUAAGGUGGCAAAAGGUU
rnacentral:lncRNA from 10 species